CGCCCCUGUGCCGCCUUCGCCAUAUUACCGGAGGGGUUGGGUCACGUGACCACGCUGACCUGGGAGCCGCGACCGGUCGGCGCGGUCACUUGUCCCCCGGUCACCGACCGCACCGCAGCGCCACGUCCACCGACUCUACUGCACCGCUACCAGCUACGUAACUGAGACUGUUCCUGGCCACUCGUUCGUGCCAUGCCGACCACUCGAGGCGGCAGAGGAAGACGAUUU